AAUGAACGCUGGCGGCGCGCCUAACACAUGCAAGUCGAGCGAGGCCACGGCUUCGGCCGUGAGUCGAGCGGCGAACGGGUGAGUAACGCGUGGGUAACGUACCCGGGAGUGGGGGAUAGCUCCGGGAAACUGGAGGUAAUACCGCAUACGCUCACUUCACCGCAUGGUGGAGUGAGGAAAGGUUGGGACCCUUCGGGGCCAGCCGCUCCCGGAUCGGCCUGCGUCCGAUUAGCUAGUUGGUAGGGUAACGGCCUACCAAGGCUACGAUCGGUAGCCGGCCUGAGAGGGUGAUCGGCCACACUGGGACUGAGACACGGCCCAGACUCCUACGGGAGGCAGCAUG
rnacentral:rRNA from 1 species